rnacentral:snRNA from 1 species
AUGGUCACCCGGCAGGAGCCACCAUGAUUACGAAGGUGGUUUUCCCCGGGCGAGGCUACAUUGCCUCCCCGAUGUGCUGACCCCUGUGAUGUCCCCAAAUGUGGAAAACUCACUGCAUAAUUUUGUACUGGGGGGACUACAUUUCCUGCUCUCCCUG